AUCAUUUAGAGGAAGGAGAAGUCGUAACAAGGUUUCCGUAGGUGAACCUGCGGAAGGAUCAUUGUCGAAACCUGCGCAGCAGAACGACCCGCGAACUCGUCAUUGUCCUCCGAACCGUCCGUGCGUCGGGGGCUCCGGCCCCGGGCGCGCGGCCAACCCCACCGGCGCGGAACGCGCCAAGGAAUACUCUCGAAGCUGGUCUCGGCGCCCGCGGCGCUCCGUUCGCGGAACCCGCCCGGGCGUUCGAGGCCCGCCGUAACGAAAUAACGACUCUCGGCAACGGAUAUCUCGGCUCUCGCAUCGAUGAAGAACGUAGCGAAAUGCGAUACUUGGUGUGAAUUGCAGAAUCCCGUGAACCAUCGAGUCUUUGAACGCAAGUUGCGCCCGAAGCCGUCAGGCCGAGGGCACGUCUGCCUGGGCGUCACGCAUCGCGUCGCCCUCCCCUCCUUCGGUCCUCGGGCCGCGGAGGGGGGGAGCGGACGGUGGCCUCCCGUGCUCCCCGUCCGGGGGGCGCGGCCGGCCCAAACGAUCGCCCCGGACGACGGACGUCGCGGCGAGUGGUGGUUGCACUUAGCGCUCUCGUCGUCGCCUCGUCCUCUUCCGCGGGUACCAACGACCCCUUCGAGCCCUCGCUCAUGAGCGCUCUUCGACCGCGACCCCAGGUCAGGCGGGACUACCCGCUGAGUUUAAGCAUA
rnacentral:misc_RNA from 1 species